AUCAGAAGGCACACCCGGAGAACUGAAACAUCUUAGUACCCGGAGGAAGAGAAAGAAAAUUCGAUUCCCUUAGUAGCGGCGAGCGAAACGGGAAGAGCCCAAACCAACAAGCUUGCUUGUUGGGGUUGUAGGACACUCUAUACGGAGUUACAAAGGACGACAUUAGACGAAUCAUCUGGAAAGAUGAAUCAAAGAAGGUAAUAAUCCUGUAGUCGAAAAUGUUGUCUCUCUUGAGUGGAUCCUGAGUACGACGGAGCACGUGAAAUUCCGUCGGAAUCUGGGAGGACCAUCUCCUAAGGCUAAAUACUCUCUAGUGACCGAUAGUGAACCAGUACCGUGAGGGAAAGGUGAAAAGCACCCCGGAAGGGGAGUGAAAUAGAACCUGAAACCGUGUGCUUACAAGUAGUCAGAGCCCGUUAAUGGGUGAUGGCGUGCCUUUUGUAGAAUGAACCGGCGAGUUACGAUUUGAUGCAAGGUUAAGCAGUAAAUGUGGAGCCGUAGCGAAAGCGAGUCUGAAUAGGGCGUUUAGUAUUUGGUCGUAGACCCGAAACCAGGUGAUCUACCCUUGGUCAGGUUGAAGUUCAGGUAACACUGAAUGGAGGACCGAACCGACUUACGUUGAAAAGUGAGCGGAUGAACUGAGGGUAGCGGAGAAAUUCCAAUCGAACCUGGAGAUAGCUGGUUCUCUCCGAAAUAGCUUUAGGGCUAGCCUCAAGUGAUGAUUAUUGGAGGUAGAGCACUGUUUGGACGAGGGGCCCCUCUCGGGUUACCGAAUUCAGACAAACUCCGAAUGCCAAUUAAUUUAACUUGGGAGUCAGAACAUGGGUGAUAAGGUCCGUGUUCGAAAGGGAAACAGCCCAGACCACCAGCUAAGGUCCCAAAAUAUAUGUUAAGUGGAAAAGGAUGUGGCGUUGCCCAGACAACUAGGAUGUUGGCUUAGAAGCAGCCAUCAUUUAAAGAGUGCGUAAUAGCUCACUAGUCGAGUGACACUGCGCCGAAAAUGUACCGGGGCUAAACAUAUUACCGAAGCUGUGGAUUGUCCUUUGGACAAUGGUAGGAGAGCGUUCUAAGGGCGUUGAAGCAUGAUCGUAAGGACAUGUGGAGCGCUUAGAAGUGAGAAUGCCGGUGUGAGUAGCGAAAGACGGGUGAGAAUCCCGUCCACCGAUUGACUAAGGUUUCCAGAGGAAGGCUCGUCCGCUCUGGGUUAGUCGGGUCCUAAGCUGAGGCCGACAGGCGUAGGCGAUGGAUAACAGGUUGAUAUUCCUGUACCACCUAUAAUCGUUUUAAUCGAUGGGGGGACGCAGUAGGAUAGGCGAAGCGUGCGAUUGGAUUGCACGUCUAAGCAGUAAGGCUGAGUAUUAGGCAAAUCCGGUACUCGUUAAGGCUGAGCUGUGAUGGGGAGAAGACAUUGUGUCUUCGAGUCGUUGAUUUCACACUGCCGAGAAAAGCCUCUAGAUAGAAAAUAGGUGCCCGUACCGCAAACCGACACAGGUAGUCAAGAUGAGAAUUCUAAGGUGAGCGAGCGAACUCUCGUUAAGGAACUCGGCAAAAUGACCCCGUAACUUCGGGAGAAGGGGUGCUCUUUAGGGUUAACGCCCAGAAGAGCCGCAGUGAAUAGGCCCAAGCGACUGUUUAUCAAAAACACAGGUCUCUGCUAAACCGUAAGGUGAUGUAUAGGGGCUGACGCCUGCCCGGUGCUGGAAGGUUAAGAGGAGUGGUUAGCUUCUGCGAAGCUACGAAUCGAAGCCCCAGUAAACGGCGGCCGUAACUAUAACGGUCCUAAGGUAGCGAAAUUCCUUGUCGGGUAAGUUCCGACCCGCACGAAAGGCGUAACGAUUUGGGCACUGUCUCAACGAGAGACUCGGUGAAAUCAUAGUACCUGUGAAGAUGCAGGUUACCCGCGACAGGACGGAAAGACCCCGUGGAGCUUUACUGUAGCCUGAUAUUGAAAUUCGGCACAGCUUGUACAGGAUAGGUAGGAGCCUUUGAAACGUGAGCGCUAGCUUACGUGGAGGCGCUGGUGGGAUACUACCCUAGCUGUGUUGGCUUUCUAACCCGCACCACUUAUCGUGGUGGGAGACAGUGUCAGGCGGGCAGUUUGACUGGGGCGGUCGCCUCCUAAAAGGUAACGGAGGCGCUCAAAGGUUCCCUCAGAAUGGUUGGAAAUCAUUCAUAGAGUGUAAAGGCAUAAGGGAGCUUGACUGCGAGACCUACAAGUCGAGCAGGGUCGAAAGACGGACUUAGUGAUCCGGUGGUUCCGCAUGGAAGGGCCAUCGCUCAACGGAUAAAAGCUACCCCGGGGAUAACAGGCUUAUCUCCCCCAAGAGUUCACAUCGACGGGGAGGUUUGGCACCUCGAUGUCGGCUCAUCGCAUCCUGGGGCUGUAGUCGGUCCCAAGGGUUGGGCUGUUCGCCCAUUAAAGCGGUACGCGAGCUGGGUUCAGAACGUCGUGAGACAGUUCGGUCCCUAUCCGUCGUGGGCGUAGGAAAUUUGAGAGGAGCUGUCCUUAGUACGAGAGGACCGGGAUGGACAUACCUCUGGUGUACCAGUUGUCGUGCCAACGGCAUAGCUGGGUAGCUAUGUGUGGACGGGAUAAGUGCUGAAAGCAUCUAAGCAUGAAGCCCCCCUCAAGAUG
rnacentral:rRNA from 1 species